rnacentral:rRNA from 1 species
GGGUCGUAAACUUCUUUUAUAUGGGAAUAAAGUUUUCCACGUGUGGAAUUUUGUAUGUACCAUAUGAAUAAGGAUCGGCUAACUCCGUGCCAGCAGCCGCGGUAAUACGGAGGAUCCGAGCGUUAUCCGGAUUUAUUGGGUUUAAAGGGAGCGUAGGUGGAUUGUUAAGUCAGUUGUGAAAGUUUGCGGCUCAACCGUAAAAUUGCAGUUGAAACUGGCAGUCUUGAGUACAGUAGAGGUGGGCGGAAUUCGUGGUGUAGCGGUGAAAUGCUUAGAUAUCACGAAGAACUCCGAUUGCGAAGGCAGCUCACUAGACUGUCACUGACACUGGUGCUCGAAAGUGUGGGUAUCAAACAGGAUUAGAUACCCUGGUAGUCCACACAGUAAA